AUGGGGAGGUUUAGGAUUGUGGAUUUUUAAAAAUACAGGCCCAGGGAAAGCUCCAUGAAGACUGGAGACUGAGAGGUGGAUUGAAGACUAUGCAACAAUUCAUUCUUAUGAGCCACUCCACAUCCAGGAGAGGCAGAGUCUGCUAUAGAAGUCAUUUGUUGAAUUGUAUCACUCAGGAAAAACAUUUAUUCAUCCAGUCAUUCACAGGGGUUAACAAUUGUUAUAUUUUGAGUGUGUGUUUAGUAACUAGAGGUCACCAGGGCAAAACAUUAGCUGUCCAUCUUCUUUGUUGUGAACUUGGAAGCCAAGGUAAAGGAGAAAGAUCUUUAUCUUGGUGAUGGUGAGACCUUGGUUCAGGUCCCCAUUUGCUCCUUCAAAAGCUGUGUGACCUUGGGGAAGACGCUGUAUCUAUCUAAGCUUGACAGACACUAUGUUGGGUUCAUAGCUUGGUGAGGGUGGUAGCCACUGAAAUGACUAAAAACAAGCAGCUAGCACAAAAAUCUCCUCCCUGAAUGCCAGAGCCUCAAGGUCUGCAGUCCAAUGGUCUCAUCACAGGGGUUACCAGCCCCUCUACAGAUAAGAAAUUGGAGGCUCAGAGAGGUAAGGAGACUUCCCCGAGUCCCCACACUCAGUGAAUGGGAGAGCUGCCAUGGAUCUGAGGCCAGCCUGAUUCCAAAGUCCAUGUCCCUCCUGACCAGCACCUCUGCCAGGCGUGUUCCCCACGUGUUGAGUUGAAGAUAUCAGGCUGGGCAGGGUCAAGAAAACAUAUGGACACCUGGAAGCGCUCAUUUUCUGGAGUCCCUGGUGGGGGAAGGAUGUCAUUUUGGGGGUGCUAAGGAAGAUGUUCCAGGAAAGUCAGUGUGGUGUGGUGAGGGACGGUAUCUACACUUACAGGGAGAGGGGUGCUGCUGGCACCUGCGUGGCUUAGCUCCUCUGUGCUGGGAUCCAUGGUAGGUUGGCCCGGAAGCCUCCUGCUCUGCUCUAGGAGAUGUGGCAUGUCAACCCAGAAGGCUCCUCCUCUGUGAUGGGAGGUGUGGCACAUCAACCUAGAAGCUUCCUCUGUGCUGUGAGCAGUGGCUUUGGUUGCCUAGUGACAUUGACUGGUGUUCCCAUUUAUGAGCUGGAAAGCUGUUUGGCGGCCCAGGAGCAGAGUUUGUUGACUGCCAUGAAGUGAGCAGUUUUGCUCCACCACAUGCUCCUGCCAUGAUGUGCUGGCUCACCAUAGACCCAAAGCAAUGGGGCCAAUAGACCCUGGACCCAAACCUCCAAAACCGGCCUACUGCCAGGAGGAACCUGUGAAUCUGGUGUUUCUGCUCUUCUAUUUGCUUGAUAACUUGGUUUCUGGUCCCUCCAAGAAUCAUGCAGAGAUAAGAAAAGGAGGUGCAGAAACUGAGUCCCAGAGAGACAAGAAGACCAUGUCAUAAAUCAUUCAGAUGGAACGUGGCAGAGGUGGGACUUGAUCCAAUCUUACUUGAUUUGAAAGGUCUGUGUUCUUAACCAAUAAACCAGGGAUUUCCUAAAUGUCCUUGAGGUAGACAGUACACAGAAGAACAGUGUCUUAUUUUGAUUAUCAGACAUUUGCUGAGCUCAAUAUGCAUUUAUUUCAGCAUAUAUUAGAAAAAAAUUACUGACAGCAUUUGUUUAUGACAUGACAUACAGAUUUUUCUAUUUACAUUAGUGAUAUAAAAUUUUCCUUUGAAUUUAUUUGCUUACAUUCUAAAAAACUGAGUCAAUUUACAAAUAAUUUUAGGCAAGCAAUAAGGAAGAUAGUAGUACAACAAUACAGCAUAAAUUACAUAUCUUGUAUAUAAAAAGAAGUAGAAUUUGAAAAACAAUGCCUCAGAAAAACAAUGCCUCAGAACCACCAUAUAUGGAUUCAAAAUGAACACACACACACACACACACACACACACAAUUAAACUAAGUUUUAAAUUCUCACCAUGCAGUUACAGGUUUGUAGAAUGUUGCUUAAAAAUUGUAUCACACACCCUGCCUAAUGAAGACUUCAAAACAGUCUCUAAACUAAAUUUAAAGAAUAUUUACUUUUUUUCCAUUUCUGUUUUUGGAACUUAAAUGGUUGAAUGGAUUAAAAAUUGCCUCUAAAUAAAAAAUGAGCUAGGGGCCUGGAGCACUCCUCUGCUUCAUUUCAACUCUGAGCAAAUAGUGAAUUACAACACCCCUGAACAUAGUGGUUUCUAACUACCAAGCUGCCAGGCUUUUAAAUAACAGCAGCACAGAAGUGUGGCCAUAAUGCUACCUAUUUCCCUUGCUAAAUUAUUUAUGCAUUUAUUAUAUUUAACAUGGACUGUUGGAUGUGAAGGUACUUCCGGGGGCCUAGGUCAUUUCAAGAAGCCUAUUACUGAUAAUCAACCCAACUACAUUAGAAACUGGUGCAUCCACUUGUAUGUGAUAUUCCUUAUUAAUAUUAGAUAAUUACUGCCUCUGCAAUUGUGUUAGGAUGGUGGUAACUUUAUGAUGUGGAUGUGUGUCUGCACGCAUGCACUAGCCAAUGGCUUUAAGGGAAGCCACUUCAUUAAGGAGCUGUUUAACAUCAAGAGAUAGCAAUAAAGAUGAGCUUAAUGCCACUGAAGCACUGUACCUAAGAUGGCUGAGCCAAAUGAAGCUAUUACCCUGUAUAAUGUGUUUAACACAAGAUUGAAAUGGUUUACUGUUUACAAAAUCAUGCUCCAGGAUUUACAGUGACUGAUUUGCCAUAAGAUCCACAACAUGGUAGAAGUUUUAUGUUAAUAUUUACUUCACAUGUACUGUUAGGAAAUUACUAUAUUCCCCCUUCAAAUAAAAAACCAUGAAUCACCAAAAAAAUUGAGAGUACUAUUUAUAAAACACUCCAAAGUAUGUUUGUUGCUAAAUUCAACAAUAUGUAUUACUUUGGACUUACUUGUGUCUUGUAUAGAAAAAGAAAAAAAUUAGUUAAUUUAACUUUAAUUCAAUAAACAUACAUUAAAGGACUACUAUGUGCUGGGCAUAAUACCAGGUAUAGGGUACAGAAAAGAGAAAAGUUUCUGACCUGGAUUAGUAAUUCUAUAGGGUGGGAUUUAAAAAGUCAAUUAUAUACCAAUCAAUUAUGUGGCCAAAUGUCUGUGGUGCCUUUGAAGACACCACUUCUGCUUUGCGUCAAGUGAAGGACCCCUGAAGAGGAGCUCCCCCAGGCAAAGAAAGUAGAUCUUCUCGGCAAGCAGACAUGCACGGAAAGGCCUAAAGUGACUGUAUGGUGAGCAUGGGAGACACUGGCUCACUCCUCCAAGGACCUUCCCUUCUGUUUUGCCAGAAGAAUCCUGGUUUUGUUCAUGUUUUAGUCUUGAGGAAGGUGAGCCCAGGAAUUUCUAGAUCAAGGCAUAUGACCCAGUUGUACGUGGACCAACUUUUGGUAAAGGCCUUCUCUUCCUGAUCAGAAGAAAGUUCAUGACGAGAAACUCCAGGCUCUUUGCUGACUUCUAUUUCUUGCUUUUAAAGAUGAGAACUGAGGCAAACACUGAGAUGCCCUGAAGGGGAGGCCAAGAACAUCCAGAGAUUCCAACCCAGAGCCCUGACAUGACUGGCCUGCUGGCAUCAGCAACUACCCACCUCUAGUUACUGUUUCCUCUUUUUCCUGCCUUGCCCACCUCCUUUUUCCUUCUCUUCUUUUUUCCUGCUCCUCCUUUUUAUUUUUUGGUAGUACUGGGAAUUGAACUCAGGAACUUGAGCAUGCUAGGCAAGCAUUCUAUGACUGAGCUACACUCUCACUCCCAUGCCGACAGGGUCUUGCUAUGCCCAACUUGGCUUCCAAGUUGCAAUUAUCUUGCCUCAGCCUCCUGACCUCUAACCCUGAUGAGUGAAAAAAAUAACCUCUAAUUGUGUCAGACAUUGUUGUUCAUGUGUCCUGUUUGUUGGAGCCAAUAGAACCCAUGACUGAUUGUUAAGUUUAUGGAAACAAGUUUUUCAGGGUGCUUAGAGCAGUGCUCUUUGAGAGUGGCAAGACAUGGUCCUGAAAUAUCAAGCAGGUGACUGAUGAGAACCCUGAUGGUGAUGGUUUCCAAACAAUGGGUGCCUUCCCAGUGUGGUACAUAAGAUGACUGUAGGUGGCACACAAACAAGGCAAGGUUAGGAAGUCUUUUACACCUCCUUCCCACCAUUUUCUUUCAACAAAGAGAAAGAAAGUCUCAGAUUUAGGGCCUUUGCAUUGAAUACAAGUUCUAAGAAAAAGUCAAUACUAUUAAUUUGAUUUCAUUAUUUUAAUUUUGAUAAUUACCUUUCAGUUACAGCAAGGGACAGGUUUCUGUUUUAGAUAAGAAAUCAAGUUUUUUGAAUGCCUAAUUAUUUUUAAAAUGUUUAAAAAGCCAACUUUGACAGUAAAGAAGCUACGCCAAUAUGGCAAAAAUUGUGAUGGUGAAGCAAAAAUCAUGGAAGUUUGAAAAUAAAGUUGAGUAUAUCAAGGAACAAUUCAAAGUGUUUAAAGAAUGUAGUAAUGUGAUAAGACUCUAUAUUAGGAAGAUUCAGUGAGCAAGGCCUGGCUUUCAAUCUGAAGAUGGCUUUUGAAAAAAAAAAAUUCAUUUGAAAAAUGAUCAGAGUAGAACCAAACAGGAGGUGAAAGGAAAAAGAAGGAGAUGCUAAGGAAGAAAAAGACAAUUUGGGGACCAACUGUGAGAGGACCGAGGAGAGGGAGGAGUUUGGGUUGACUCCUAAAUUUGGCAUAGUUGACCAAAACAAUGAAUCAUGGAACCCUUAAAUCAGUUAGGGAAAUGGGAGGAGUAGGGCUGGGAGGUAAGGGGGAGAGACAUGGGUACAGCUGGCCACACUGAAUUGAAUGCCCCUUGUUAAAUACAGAUGGGAAUAUACUAUCGACUACCGGUUCCC